CCGCAGAGCCUAAGGAGAUUCCGGUGCACUGCCAAGCUGAUCAUCUCGACUUCAGUCUGAAAUUGCAAUUCCCCGCCUGCGGCAUUUCCAUCUUUCAGCCUCUUGACUGCUACUAUAGUUCCAUCUGGGAGCUUCCCUCGGUUUUCAAGGUUGACGUUCUCGAUGUGCUGGUCUGCAAAAUAACCAACACGCUCAGUAACUGAUUCCACCCAAGCAAAACAAGCAUCUGGCCAAUAUCAGCUCGGCUGUAGGACAUCGGCAUGGGCAAAGUUCCAUAACAAUCUUGUUCUGUAGCUGCUCCGCAGAUCAGUGGAUUCCCUACUAUGCUGCAAGAAAACCAAUUAAUUUUCCCAUAAGGUCAGUCUUAUUUAUGGUAAACAUGUCUCCACUGGAGAUGGUACUUUGGUCAAAGAUAAAAUGACACAGCAGUACUGCGGCCUUACUUGAAUGUCCUUGCCAAAGACCCUGGAACUGGACCGCUCAGAUUAUUGUAGGACAGAUCCCUGAGAAUUGGGAAGUCCGUCUGACAGUGAGCAGAGCACCACAGAGCAGUACACAACCACAUAAUAACAGCAAAACAAGCAGAGGAUACUCACAAGAAAACAAGGU